rnacentral:rRNA from 1 species
GACGAACGCUGGCGGCGUGCUUAACACAUGCAAGUCGAACGAAGUGGCGAACGGGUGAGUAACACGUAAUCCACCUGCCCUUCAGAGGGGGACAACAGUUGGAAAAGACUGCUAAUACCGCAUACUGAAGGCGGGGAUUGCGUCUGAUUAGCUAGGUGGAGGGGUAAAGGCCCCCCAAGGCGAUGAUCAGUAGCCGGCCUUAGAGGAUGAACGGCAAAAUUGGGACUGAGAAACGGCCCAGAUUCCAACGGGAGGCAGCAGUGGGGAAUAUUGCACAAUGGGCGCAAGCCUGAGGCAGCCAUGCGGGGGGGAGGAAGAAGGCUCUAGGGGUGUAAAGUACUUUCAGUCGGGAGCGUUACCGACAGAAGAAGCACCGGCUAACUCCGUGCCAGCAGCCGCGGUAAUAC